GCCAGGUGUGGUGGUGUGCACCUGUAAUCCCAGCUACUCGGGAGGCUGAGGCAGGAGAAUCACUUGAACCCAGGAUGUGGAGGUUGCAGUGGGCCAAGAUCGAGACACUGCCCCUCCAGCCUGGGUGACAGAGCAAGACUCUGUCUCAA
ensembl:misc_RNA Metazoa_SRP Metazoan signal recognition particle RNA